AGAGUUUGAUCCUGGCUCAGAACGAACGUUAGCGGCGCGCCUAACACAUGCAAGUCGAGCGAGAAAGGGCUUCGGCCCCGGUACAGCGGCGCACGGGUGAGUAACACGUAGGUAAUCUACCCCCGAAUGGUGGAUAACCCUCCGAAAGGAGGGCUAAUACAGCAUAAGACCACGGCCUCUUCGGAGGCUGAGGCCAAAGCGGGCCUCUUCAUGAAAGCUCGCGUUUGGGGAUGAGCCUGCGGCCCAUCAGCUAGUUGGCGGUGUAACGGACCACCAAGGCUAAGACGGGUAGCUGGUCUGAGAGGAUGAACAGCCACACUGGAACUGAGACACGGUCCAGACUCCUACGGGAGGCAGCAGUGGGGAAUCUUGCGCAAUGGGCGAAAGCCUGACGCAGCGACGCCGCGUGAGUGAUGAAGGCCUUCGGGUUGUAAAGCUCUGUGGGGAGAGACGAAUAAGGGACGGCUAAUACCCGGCUCGAUGACGGUAUCUCCUUAGCAAGCACCGGCUAACUCUGUGCCAGCAGCCGCGGUAAGACAGAGGGUGCAAACGUUGUUCGGAAUUACUGGGCGUAAAGCGCGUGUAGGCGGCAGGGUAUGUCGGAUGUGAAAUCCCGUGGCUCAACCACGGAAGUGCACCCGAAACCACCCAGCUAGAGUCUCGGAGAGGAAGGCGGAAUGCUUGGUGUAGAGGUGAAAUUCGUAGAUAUCAAGCGGAACACCGGUGGCGAAGGCGGCCUUCUGGACGAUGACUGACGCUGAGACGCGAAAGCGUGGGGAGCAAACAGGAUUAGAUACCCU
rnacentral:rRNA from 1 species